rnacentral:misc_RNA from 1 species
AACACUGUUAACCUGCGGUACCUGCGGAAGGAUCAUUACCGAGUGUGGCCCCAUUUUUAAAACAAAUAGGGGUACCUCCCGUCCUUUGCAGGGCCCUUUGGGGCUUUUUGAACUUUGCUUCGGCGGGUUUUAUCCCGCCGGAACACCCUCAAGAAAAUCUUUUUAAAAAUACUGUCGUCUGAGCAUUUACAAAAUAAAACAAAACUUUUAACAAUGGAUCU